rnacentral:rRNA from 1 species
CACCGGCGGCUCAAGUGGUGGCCGCUAUUAUUGGGCUUAAAGGGUCCGUAGCCGGACCAGUUAGUCCAUUGGGAAAUCUUACGGCUUAACCGUAAGGCUGCCAGUGGAUACUGCUGGUCUUGGGACCGGGAGAGGCAAGAGGUACUUCAGGGGUAGGAGUGAAAUCCUGUAAUCCUUGAGGGACCGCCAGUGGCGAAGGCGUCUUGCUAGAACGGGUCCGACGGUGAGGGACGAAAGCUAGGGGCACGAACCGG